ACAGUAUACAGCUUAAUGUAUAAUAUACAGCUUAAUGUACGGUAUACAGCUUAAUGUACAGUAUACAGCUUAAUGUACGGUAUACAGCUUAAUGUAUAAUAUACAGCUUAAUGUACAGUAUACAGUUCAAUGUACGGUAUACAGCUUAAUGUACGGUAUACAGCUUAAUGUAUAAUAUACAGCUUAAUGUACGGUAUACAGCUUAAUGUACGGUAUACAGCUUA